rnacentral:rRNA from 1 species
GUUCGGAUCGCAGGCUGCAACCCGCCUGCGUGAAGUCGGAAUCGCUAGUAAUCGCGGAUCAGCAUGCCGCGGUGAAUACGUUCCCGGGCCUUGUACACACCGCCCGUCACACCAUGAGAGUCGGGAACACCCGAAGUCCGUAGCCUAACUUUAACGGAGGGGGCGCGGCCGAAGGUGGGUUCGAUAAUUGGGGUGAAGUCGUAACAAGGUAUC